rnacentral:rRNA from 1 species
UCACGCGCGUGAACCCUAGCCCCCACUCCUCUCCCUGAUCGCUCCCCGCGCCCACUCCUCUCCCCGAUCGAGAUCCCUCCGCCGCAGCCCCGUCCUCCCCUUCCUUCCACCGCCCACCUCUCCCCUCGCCUCUGCCACCCACCUCUCCCACUGGUCUGCACCCUCCCCUUCCCUCCCCUACGGCCAGAAUCAUCGCUCCCGCCUUCUACCCCUCCCCCCGUGGCUAGCUAGGGUUUUGGCCACCACCCCUAACUUCGCUGGGAUCCACCACUUCCGGCGACGGCGAGGCUAGAUCACCGCCGCCAACUCCAUCGGGCGGAGCUUUCCACCAUCCUCAUCCUCGCCCUUCAUCACCGCAUCGCCACUCCGUCCCCACUCCUCUCGAUCCCUUCCCCUUCCUCUCCUCCGUCUUCUCCUCGCGACGCCCCACCCUCCACGCGCUCGCCCGCCUCUGCGGCUCCGUCGACACCGAGAUCUCCCAAAAGCGGAGGCAGCGAAGCAGGAGGCCACGGUCGUCACGCUCAACGCCGAGAUCCGCCGCGCCAAGGCCAAGCUCCUCGAGGAGGACCUGCCCAAGCUGCAGAGCCUCGCGCUCAAGAAGGACGAGGUGGUGAACCCGCUGUUCGAGAAGAGGCCGAAGCAGUUCGGCAUCAGUGGCGCCCUGCCGCCCAAGAAGGACCUCCACCGGUUUGUCAAUUGGCCCAAGGUCAUGCGCAUCCAGCGCCAGUGCCGCAUCCUCAAGCAGCGCCUCAAGGUGCCCCAGGCACUCCACCAGUUCACCCGCACCCUCGACAAGAACAUCGGUCAUUUUGUGAAGGCCGCCAAGGGAAGGAGUGGGGGAUUUGGCACAAGGCCGGUGAUCGAGUCUAUGCUCUCUCCUCCAUGGAAAGACCUAAAUUCAGCUUGACAGAGAGCACAUGAAUGGUUUCAGCUUGACAACAAAUGUAUGAAACUUCUUAGCUGUGGACGACAACUACUUCCUUAAGAAGGACCAGCAUCACGCAUCAAGUAUGCCAUUGAGGGUGACGGCCGAAGGCAUGAUGAUAGUUCUAUUGCUGUUCUAGUGUAGCGAAGGUGGCCUAGUCGACUAUGGUCGCCUAGUGAGUCGUGCAUACGGUUUCAUCUGACUGUAAACUUGAUGUAAACUGCUCUAAUUGUGGAGCUUGUUAUCUGAUUGUAAACUUGAUGCUGAUCACAUUUGUAUGUGUGUUAUAUGAUGUAGCACUUUGAUGGUUGAUAAUAUUUGAAGUAUUUCGUGUGUUUUCUGUGUGCCAA